CCAUUGGGAGGGAAUUUCGGGAUAUUUGGAAUGUCGCCGAAUUUUCCUGUGCAGAGUACUACGAAAUCUACCACCUCCUCCUGCAAAUCACCGCCGGUGUUAUGGAAAAACAUAGAGGGGCACAAAUGCAGGCGUCUUUCCUAACUUUCUUUCCCUCCAGGUGAAAGGGAAGGGGAAGGGGGCAAUGAAAGGUCCGUUUGGAAGAGUCUAUAUACAUGUGUGUAUAUAAAACCAAGCAAGUACUCUUAUAUAAUUUGAGAAAAAGAAAAUGAUUAGUUGAACACACCAAGGGAAAGUGUUAAAAGGAGGAUGUGUUGAGAGUGAUGAGAAACAAGAAUGUUAAAGUGA